rnacentral:rRNA from 1 species
UGCCCUAGGCUUUGGGAUAACCCCGGGAAACCGGGGCUAAUACCGAAUAGGACCUUCGGUCGCAUGACUGUUGGUGGAAAGUUUUUCGGCCUGGGAUGGGCUCGCGGCCUAUCAGCUUGUUGGUGGGGUGAUGGCCUACCAAGGCGACGACGGGUAGCCGGCCUGAGAGGGCGACCGGCCACACUGGGACUGAGACACGGCCCAGACUCCUACGGGAGGCAGCAGUGGGGAAUAUUGCACAAUGGGCGGAAGCCUGAUGCAGCGACGCCGCGUGAGGGAUGACGGCCUUCGGGUUGUAAACCUCUUUCAGCAGGGACGAAGCGUAAGUGACGGUACCUGCAGAAGAAGCGCCGGCCAACUACGUGCCAGCAGCCGCGGUAAGACGUAGGGCGCGAGCGUUGUCCGGAUUUAUUGGGCGUAAAGAGCUCGUAGGCGGCUUGUCGCGUCGACUGUGAAAACCCGCAGCUCAACUGCGGGCCUGCAGUCGAUACGGGCAGGCUAGAGUUCGGUAGGGGAGACUGGAAUUCCUGGUGUAG